rnacentral:misc_RNA from 1 species
UUCACUAUUUCUUUCUCUCUGGAUCCAAUUUUCGAGCUCUCAAUUGGACAAAUACGUAAUAGCCAAUCCAAAAGGAUAACUCCCAAAGUAUUAUUAUGAUCCUACCUGAUUCUAACGAAUGAAUGUUCCACAAAAAUUGAAAUAGAAUUUUUCUAAACUAAUCUGUGUUAGUCAAAAUAUUGAACUAACUCAAAAGUCGUUCGUAAACCAAGAUGGAAACGCAUGUGACAGAACUGGAAUAUCUGCAUAAGCUGACCGCUUUGACUUUUAGGAAGUUUUCUCGCAAGAUGUCGGGGGAUGUUUUGCGCGAUGAGCCGCUAUGUUCUUGGGCGAAAUGACUUGCUUGUCGUGGCGAACGCCUUUAAAAUUCCGGCCUAAAUUAAAUCACAUAGUAUUGUAAUCUUGCCGGUGGAAUUAUUUAACAUCUUAAGUGUGUGUUGCCAGCGGUGCAAAAUCAGAAGACGGAAAUUGUUCGUGGAAACUGUAACAGUGCAUGUAACACUGCCAGAACCACGAAACGAAAUAACAGAUACUGUUUUAACAAAGAAAUAAGACUAUUUGGAUUGAAAUUGAAGGAUUCUGAAGGAAUACGUGACUUUAAUAGUAAUUGAAAUGGGUGUCAGGGCAAGUACCGUAGCACAAUCUGCAGGAGGCAACAGUCAAUCAUCUACUGGGACCAAUGAAACUACGAUGCAAGGCUUUUCUGUGCUUCGUUCCUUGCCUGGAGGUGUUGGCAUGUUGCAGCAUCAACAUCAACAAGGAAAUCAGUCGCAGACUUCUCGAGUAUCAGGAGAUAAUAGACAACGUGCACGUUCUCUUAGUUCUGUUCCGGAUCUUUCUUCAGGAGAACAAGGUGCUCUUGCUUCUACUGUUGGUGUUGGAGUAGCCCAGGCUCUUGGAUUGCCACAGCUUGAAAAUGAUGAUGCAGACGAAGAUAGCGGUAGGGUAUAUGCCGCUCACAGCUUGCCUUCCCACAUGUGGUCCCUUAACGGUCUAAAGUGUCCUGUAUGCUCUAAGUUUAUCCUACCGGAUGAUAUAGAGUGUCACCUGGUAAUGUGCCUGACCAAGCCACGUCUUAGUUAUAAUGAGGACGUAUUAGCAGAUGAAAAAGGUGAAUGUGUUAUUUGUCUAGAGGAAUUACAGCCUGGUGAUGUUAUUGCCCGCUUGCCCUGUCUUUGUAUAUAUCAUAAAAAUUGCAUUGAUAAAUGGUUUCAAGUGAAUCGUAGCUGCCCUGAACACCCUGGAGAUUGAUUUGCACUUUGAAGAUUACAGUGGAUUAAGAGUCUGGCCCAGAGGACACUUAUGUCAAUGGGAAUAGGAAGGGAGAUAACGACAGAAAUUUGAAAAAAGCUAGUCAAGGUGGCUGCUAGUCCGCAAUGGUGGUUGGUGCAUGCGGUGAUUGUUCAAUGGAACAAGAUACACUGAAAUUAAACUUCAGAACGGACGUUUGAUUAAAUUCUCGACUCUAUUAUUACUAAGGAGAGGACUUAAAAAACAAAUCGCCAUAAGUUUCAACGAUACAAUGCUAUUAACUAUACGUAUCUAUAAUUAAUCUAUUAUUACUCUAUCGCUUAUUAUCAAUUGUACUAUAUUUAUAAAUUUUACUUAGUUUUACAACUUGAAGUCGAUUUAACAUUAAGCAAAAGAGUUUUUAUCAUUACUGAUGAUUAUUUUUUCUUUGGAAAGGGGAGAUACAGGACGAAUCAUAGUCAAAGGACCUGCCCCAUGCAGGGGAGCCAGGAUGUAUAAGAAUUUCAAGCAGAGGACUUGUCGCAAUAUUGUUGAUGCUGUAGUAACAAUAAAGGUUCUGAUUUAACCUUCUCUAUUGAAAUUUAUGCUAAUGUGAUAAUCUCUUUUAUGUUCUUAGAGAAUUGGCAUUCUCCGUGUUACUAAAAAGUGUACAUAUGAUAAUAUUAAUUGUAAAUCAACUACCUUAUAAUUAAUCCCUUUUAUAUAUGAUAAGGAUAAACGUAACACCGUGAUAGUUUUUGUAAUGCAAAGAUGCAGGUCUGUCAAUUUUCCAGUAACAUACAAAAACUCACGAAAUAUUGGAAUCGGACAUGUAUUGCAUAAAAUAAUAACUGUAAUAAAACGAUGACAAUUUGAAAAUACGUAGAGAAAAGUAGUCAAAAUAAAAUGAAAUGUGGAUAUGUAUUAUAUCAA